rfam:Lysinibacillus massiliensis 4400831 = CIP 108448 = CCTG 49529 contig120, whole genome shotgun sequence.
CAAGCUUACCAGUGAUGGCAAGCUGAAUUGUAAGAAGUCAGCAGAGGUCAUAGUAGUUUCUCUGAAAUGAAGGAC